rnacentral:rRNA from 1 species
UACGGGGGGGGCAAGCGUUGUUCGGAAUUACUGGGCGUAAAGGGCUCGUAGGCGGCCAACUAAGUCAGACGUGAAAUCCCCAGGCUCAACCUGGGAACUGCGUCUGAUACUGGAUGGCUUGAAUCCGGGAGAGGGAUGCAGAAUUCCAGGUGUAGCGGUGAAAUGCGUAGAUAUCUGGAGGAACACCGGUGGCGAAGGCGGCAUCCUGGACCGGUAUUGACGCUGAGGCGCGAAAGCGUGGGGAGCAAACAGG